GCUGUGCCGACCGGUGGAGGGACACUAGGAGGGACCAGACCACCAUCUCCCUGCCAGCUGUCCGCCCUCCCCUAGGACCUUCACACUGGCUUUAAGGUGGACCCGGCACGUCUUCCCUUGGGUGUUGACACUGGGAAUGAAGCCAAGGAAGGUCAAAGGCCUCAGGCUGGAGCUGCCCACUCCAGGCAUCCGACGUGGUCACCUUGAGCACGUGAGGCCUGCCUGGGGCCCACCCGCUGCCCCCACCCGAACCGCACCGCCUCUCCCUCUCCGGCCUGGCUCCUUCCUCUUCCACUUUCAUUCUCCUCUCGCUCUUCCUUCCACCUGGUUGGUGGCCUGAAGUGGCCAGAGGGAUGAAGCUGAGCCUGCCCUCCCCGGGGAGGAGCCACCAGACACACCUAGGACAGCGAAGCUGGAAAGGUGACUGGGCCAGGCCCAGGCCGGUGAGGAGCGGUGUCUCCUGACACCACGCCUCACCUCUGCCUCCCCACCCACCCCUCACUCGGCGCCUGCCUGCCACCUGCUCCCCUCACCCCUGCCCUCCUCCCAGGAGCUCCUCCUAUGUCCCAGGGAGGGUCUGAGGUGAAGGGGAGGCUGUGAACUGCAGAGCCCACUGCCACAGUCGCUUCUAGCUGGAGAAGAGACCCCAGAGGGCCUCUUCCUCUUGCCCUCUCCGAGGUCCAGACAAAAGAGAUGGGCAGGGACUGCCUGGUGCCCACUCUGAACGGGGCGCUGAGGCUGCCCAACUGACAGCGAAACCAGCGACAAAGCUUUGGGCCUGAAGAGGGAGGUCAUGGGAUAAGGCAGGCUGAGACCCUGAGGGUCUGGGGCUUGUGGGUCUUGGGAGAGACCAGGAGGCUCCCUCCCUUGUUCCCGCUGGACCUCUGCUACCUUUAAGCCAAGCAACCAGGGUCUGGUGGACAAAGGCCAAUGUAUGCAUGAAGGGCACUGAGGUGUGGCCAGGGGGAGUGGACAACAGGUCCCCUACUUCUGCAUGAGGUCUGCAGCUUUGGAGUCUGCUUGGGCGCCCCACCCCCAGGCUCUAGGAGAAGUCUCAAGUGCCCGACUUGCUGUGGGGAGAGGCGGGUCUUCCAGGUCUCCACACCACCCCUCAGCGCACCUGUUUCUGGGAGGGAGGCCCCAGGACACCUCCGCACCGUCUGAAUGUUAGUUUUGCCUGCAAGGAGCUGGGCUCUCUACAGCCCUGCUGAUGGCAGCGCUCAGGUUUGAGGCCAGUGCUACUUAGGAGGGCUUGUUCUCAGCCACCUGGCCUGUGACCUGCACCCCAGUCCCCUAGCCUGGCCCCAAACCUGAGGAUUCAGGCUCCAAGCCCAAGCCGGGCUUCUGAAUGAGGAGGAGGAGCUGCCUGCUCUCAGCCUAGGCCCAUGUAUCAUCCUCGCCCCAACAUUUCCAACAGCCUCAACCAUCAAAUGUUUCCAAGGUUCUUAGCAUGCGUGGGACCCUGAGCAAGAGAAAGGAUCAAAGAUGGCUUCUCUUGUUGGGCAAAUUCUCCUUCCGUUCUUCUCCCACCAGAGCUCCAUCAAACAAGCCUGCUGGCCUUGAAAAAGACUCAUCUUCAGCUUUCUCUCCAAAUCCUCCCCAGGCUUCACAGCAUGGGUCCUUCCCAGGGAGAAAUCAAGAUGAAAGAAUAAAAGCAGAGCUGGAUUCCAAUUCUACGCUGCUCUGGAUGAUUUGGGGCAAGUCACUUUCUCUUUCUCUGAACCUCGGCUUCCUAAUCUGUCACAGGAAAGUAGCUUUCCUUGCAGAGUUGUGUGAGGACUGAACACGGUGGGACCUGUGCCGGCAGGUACUCAGGAAGCCUGUUAGACCACAACUCAGAG
ensembl:lncRNA